AGUGAACGCUGGCGGUAUGCCUAACACAUGCAAGUCGAACGGUAGCGCAGUAAGUUCUUGCUCUUACGGGUUGCGAGUCGCGGACGGGUCAGGAAUACAUCGUGCUCUACUUUUUCGUAUGGGCUCACGUAGGGACACUUACGCUAAUACAGCAUACGACAUACGGGUGUAAGCAGCUGAUAUUCAGAUCUUUCGGGAUUGAAUGCGCCGAUGUUGUAUUAGCUAGUUGGCGGGGUAAACACCCACCAAGGCGCCGAUCCGUAGCUUGUCUGGGAGGAUGAUCAGCCACACUGGAACGGAGACGCGGUCCAGACUACUAAGGGAGGCAGCAGUGGGGAAUAUUAGACAAUAGUGGCAAGCCUGAUACAGUCAUACCGCGUGUGUUAAAAAAGCCCUCGGGUUGGGAAGACCUUUUGUUGGGAAAAAAAAGCAGCUGGUUAAGACGCAGCGGUACUGACGGUACCUAAAGAAUAAGCACCGGCUAACUUCGUG
rnacentral:rRNA from 1 species